rnacentral:rRNA from 1 species
AUGGAGGCGGCGAUGGUGAACAGGCUCAUUGGCAGCGUGCUGAACCACCUGUCCAAUGAGUUCGUGGAGGCGUUUGUUGCCAGCUCCCAGCUUGGGCUCAACUCCCACAAGAUCAAGCAAGAUCUCAUGCUCGCACAAGGCCUACUGCAAGAGGCCCAGACGAGGGGUGUGAGCGCUAACCUCGGUCUUCAGGGGUUGCUGCAGAAGCUCACCAUCAAGGCCGACGAGGCUGAGGAUGCGCUGGAUGAGCUUCACUACUUCAUCAUCCGGGACCACCUCGACGGCACCCACGACGCGGUGCCUAACCUGGGUGAUGACAUCCUAAGUCGUGCUCGCCAUGGUUGCUAUGCUCUUCGCCACACUGUUGGUAACUGCCUUGCAUGCUUUUCUUGUUCACGCAUCAAAGAUGGUGAUGAUGGUGUUGCUGCUGAUGUCAUUACUGAUAAUCCAUCCAAUGCCACAGUAAACCCUGGUAGUGGUGAUAAUGAUGAUCCAGUUGCUAAGUUACCAUUUGACAGAGUUGCCAUGUCCAAAAAAAUCAAGCUAGUAAUAGAGGAAAUACAGUCCCUGUGUGACAGUGUCUCAAAGUUGCUCCCCACAAUACCACACCAUAGCACCAGCAGAACAAUCACCCCAAGCCAUCGUGUCACAGGAUCAACCAUUACACAACAAACAUUGCAUGGGAGGAGAGCCCUUUUGGAUAAAACCAUAGAUGAUAUCCUCACUACCGCCACACAACAUUUUGAAACCCUUCCUGUUCUUCCUAUAGUUGGUCCAGGGGGUAUUGGAAAGACAACUUUCACCCAACACCUUUAUAGUGAUGAAAGGAUAGAAGAGCACUUUGCUAUUAAGGCUUGGGUUUGUGUAUCAACAGAGUUUGAUGUGGUUAAGCUUAGCCAACAGAUCCUUAGCUCCAUAAAAAGAAGCAACACUUCAAAUCAAACAAACAAUUUGGAUGAGCUCCAAAUAUCCAUCACAGAGGAACUCAAGUCCAAAAGGUUUUUAAUUGUGUUUGAUGAUAUAUGGAAUGCAAUAGCGAGGGAUGGAAAACCCUGUUAG